rnacentral:rRNA from 1 species
AUUGAACGCUGGCGGCAUGCUUUACACAUGCAAGUCGAACGGCAGCACGGACUUCAGUCUGGUGGCGAGUGGCGAACGGGUGAGUAAUACAUCGGAACGUACCCAGUAAUGGGGGAUAACUAUCCGAAAGGAUAGCUAAUACCGCAUACGCCCUAGGGGGGAAAGAGGGGGAUCGCAAGACCUCUUGUUAUUGGAGCGGCCGAUGGCUGAUUAGCUAGUUGGUGAGGUAAAGGCUCACCAAGGCGACGUUCAGUAGGGGGUCUUAGAGGACGAUCCGCCACACUGGAACUGAGACACGGUCCAGACUCCUACGGGAGGCAGCAGUGGGGAAUCUUGGACAAUGGGCGCAAGCCUGAUCCAGCAAUGCCGCGUGCGUGAAGAAGGCCUUCGGGUUGUAAAGCGCUUUUGUCAGGGAGCAAAUCCUUGUGGCUAAUACCCACCGGGGAUGAGAGUACCUGAAGAAUAAGGACCGGCUAACUACGUGCCAGCAGCCGCCGUAA